rnacentral:rRNA from 1 species
AAUGAACGUUGGCGGCAUGGAUUAGGCAUGCAAGUCGAGCGAGAAGGAAAUCAAAGUUUACUUUGGUUUCCGGAAAGCGGCGAAAGGGAGAGUAACGCGUAGUUAUCUACCCCAAGGCCCGGAAUAGCUGCGGGAAACUGCAGGUAAUGCCGGAUAAUAUCCCCGGAUCAAAGGUGUGAUUCCGCCUUGGGAGGAGACUGCGUUGUACUAGCUUGUUGGUAGGGUAAUGGCCUACCAAGGCUACGAUGCAUAGCGGGCGUGAGAGCGUGGCCCGUCUCACUGGGACUGAAACACUGCCCAGACACCUACGGGUGGCUGCAGUCGAGAAUCUUCGGCAAUGGGCGAAAGCCUGACCGAGCGAUGCCGCGUGCGGGAUGAAGGCCCUCGGGUUGUAAACCGCUGUCGUAGGGGAGAAAGGACCGUUGAAGAGACGGUUUUGAUCUAUCCUAGGAGGAAGUCCGGGCUAAGUUCGUGCCAGCCGCCGCAGUAAGAC